UACGGAGGGUGCAAGCGUUAUCCGGAUUUACUGGGUCUAAAGGGUGCGCAGGCGGAUAUGUAAGUCAGUGGUGAAAUCUCCGGGCUUAACCCGGAAACUGCCGUUGAUACUAUAUAUCUUGAAUGCUGUGGAGGUAAGCAGAAUAUGUCAUGUAGCGGUGAAAUGCUUAGAGAUGACAUAGAAUACCUAUUGCGAAGGCAGCUUACUACGCAGAUAUUGACGCUCAUGCACGAAAGCGUGGGGAUCAAACAGG
rnacentral:rRNA from 1 species